rnacentral:tRNA from 1 species
GGCGACUGUAGCUCAGUUGGUUAGAGCAUCCGGUUCAUACCCGGAAGGUCAAGAGUUCGACUCUCUUCGGUGCUACCA